rnacentral:rRNA from 1 species
UACGUAGGGUGCAAGCGUUAAUCGGAAUUACUGGGCGUAAAGCGUGCGCAGGCGGCUAUGCAAGACAGAUGUGAAAUCCCCGGGCUCAACCUGGGGAACUGCAUUUGUGACUGCAUAGCUAGAGUACGGUAGAGGGGGAUGGAAUUCCGCGUGUAGCAGUGAAAUGCGUAGAUAUGCGGAGGAACACCGAUGGCGGAAGGCAAUCCCCUGGACCUGUACUGACGCUCAU